rnacentral:rRNA from 1 species
GACGAACGCUGGCGGCGUGCUUAACACAUGCAAGUCGAACGGAAAGGCCCUGCGUUUGUGGGGUGCUCGAGUGGCGAACGGGUGAGUAACACGUGAGUAACCUGACCUUGACUUUGGGAUAACUUCAGGAAGCUGGGGCUAAUCCCGGAUAGGAUCUCCUGCACCAUGGUGGGGGUUGGAUCGUUUCGGCGUUUGGGGAUGGAUGGGCGGCUUAUCGGCUUGUUGGUUGGGUAGGGGCUUACCGAGGGUUUGACGGGUAGCCGGCCUGGGAGGGUGGACGGGGACAUUGGGACUGAGAUACGGCCCAGUCUGCAACGGGAGGCAGCGGUGGGGAACAUUACCCAGCGGGAGGGAGUGGGAGGCAGCGACGCCGGGUUCGGGAUGCCGGCCUUUGGGGUGUGAACCGCUUUCGCCUGUGACGAAGCGGGAGUGACGGUAAUGGGUGAAGAAGCACCGGCUAACUACGUG